CGCAUCCAUUCCCAGCGGCGGCUCCAUUGCCAGCGCUCUUGAAGAACAUAGUUUGUUCUUGCCCAAGUGGUUUCUUCAAGGACUAUCUUCUUACUCUUACUCCACAGUGGCGGUUGAAUUUCUAAAGGGCUUGCUUUUGACAACCCAAAACAACCCAGCAACCCCUUUUCUUUUGUAAGCUCUUCUCUCUCAAAACAACCCAGCAACCCCUUUUUUCUUUUUAGAUCCGAUGGUUUUCACCC
rnacentral:lncRNA from 1 species